rnacentral:rRNA from 1 species
GAUGAACGCGGCGGCGUGCUUAACACAUGCAAGUCGAACGGGAUCCCGGGGGUUCGCUUCCGGGUGAGAGUGGCGAACGGGUGAGUAAUGCGUGACCGACCUGCCCCAUACACCGGAAUAGCUCCUGGAAACGGGUGGUAAUGCCGGAUGCUCCGGUUGGAUGCAUGUCCUUCCGGGAAAGAUUCUAUCGGUAUGGGAUGGGGUCGCGUCCUAUCAGCUUGAUGGCGGGGUAACGGCCCACCAUGGCUUCGACGGGUAGCCGGCCUGAGAGGGCGACCGGCCACAUUGGGACUGAGAUACGGCCCAGACUCCUACGGGAGGCAGCAGUGGGGAAUAUUGCACAAUGGGCGCAAGCCUGAUGCAGCGACGCCGCGUGCGGGAUGGAGGCCUUCGGGUUGUAAACCGCUUUUGAUCGGGAGCAAGCCCUUCGGGGUGAGU